rnacentral:rRNA from 1 species
CGCCGCGUGAGUGAUGAAGGUUUUCGGAUCGUAAAGNUCUGUUGUUAGGGAAGAACAAGUGCGAGAGUAACUGCUCNCACCUUGACGGUACCUAACCAGAAAGCCACGGCUAACUACGUGCCAGCAGCCGCGGUAAUACGUAGGUGGCAAGCGUUGUCCGGAAUUAUUGGGCGUAAAGGGCUCGCAGGCGGUUUCUUAAGUCUGAUGUGAAAGCCCCCGGCUCAACCGGGGAGGGUCAUUGGAAACUGGGAAACUUGAGUGCAGAAGAGGAGAGUGGAAUUCCACGUGUAGCGGUGAAAUGCGUAGAGAUGUGGAGGAACACCAGUGGCGAAGGCGACUCUCUGGUCUGUAACUGACGCUGAGGAGCGAAAGCGUGGGGAGCGAACAGGAUUAGAUACCCCCAGUAGUCA